UUCCAGAGUCCCUAAGAAAACUACAAAGACCAAGAUCCAUCCCAGGAGAUGAACUGGACGCCCUCAGAUACUGCAAUUACGUUACUCCAUCCCAUAAUCCUGCUAAUACUUCACAAGAGAUCUGAUGAAAAGAAGAUUUGAGUUUAAACAAGAUUGGAGAGAAGGUUUUUGAGAUGAAGCACAAAAAAACCCAAGUUGACAUCUGCCCUGCUUCAAUCAGGCUUUAAUCAGGCUGAGCUGCUCGGUUUAAGCAUGAGAAUGAAAGAUGUCUGUUGAAAACUCAUCAUAUUUCCUCAACUCAGAAUUGCAUCUUCCAG